UGCUUAACAAUGUCAAUAAUGAAACAAAAUAUUAUAAAAUUAGGUUUAAGCAAUUAAUUAAUUAAUAAUGUCAAAAAUAUAUAUGGGGAGCCGUUUGGGAGCCGAAAGAGCCGGCUCUCCACAGUAAGAAGAGCCAUUAGAGCCGCAUCUCGAAAAGGAGCCGAAAAUCCCAUCACUACUGAUUUUAGUUAGCAACAAACUCAAGUUGCUCA